rnacentral:rRNA from 1 species
GAUGAACGCUGGCGGCGUGCCUAAUACAUGCAAGUCGAGCGAACAGACGAGGAGCUUGCUCCUCUGACGUUAGCGGCGGACGGGUGAGUAACACGUGGAUAACCUACCUAUAAGACUGGGAUAACUUCGGGAAACCGGAGCUAAUACCGGAUAAUAUAUUGAACCGCAUGGUUCAAUAGUGAAAGGCGGUUUUGCUGUCACUUAUAGAUGGAUCCGCGCCGCAUUAGCUAGUUGGUAAGGUAACGGCUUACCAAGGCAACGAUGCGUAGCCGACCUGAGAGGGUGAUCGGCCACACUGGAACUGAGACACGAUCCAGACUCCUACGGGAGGCAGCAGUAGGGAAUCUUCCGCAAUGGGCGAAAGCCUGACGGAGCAACGCCGCGUGAGUGAUGAAGGUCUUCGGAUCGUAAAACUCUGUUAUUAGGGAAGAACAAAUGUGUAAGUAACUAUGCACGUCUUGACGGUACCUAAUCAGAAAGCCACGGCUAACUACGUG